rnacentral:rRNA from 1 species
AGUAGUUUGAUCAUGGCUCAGGAUGAACGCUGGGCGGAGUGCCUAACACAUGCAAGUCGAGCGGCAGCGCGAGUAGUUUACUACUUGGCGGCGAGCGGCGGACGGCUGAGUAACGCGUGGGAACAUGCCCCAAAGUGAGGAAUAACUGCCCGAAAGGGUAGCUAAUGCCGCAUACGAUCUUCGGAUUAAAGGAUUUAUCCGCUUUGGGAGUGGCCUGCGUACGAUUAGAUAGUUGGUGAGGUAAUGGCUCACCAAGUCUACGAUCGUUAACUGGUUUGAGAGGAUGAUCAGUCAGACUGGAACUGAGACACGGUCCAGACUCCUACGGGAGGCAGCAGUGAGGAAUCUUCCACAAUGGACGAAAGUCUGAUGGAGCAACUCCGCGUGCAGGAUGAAGGCCUUCGGGUCGUAAACUGCUUUUAUGAGUGAAGAAUAUGACGGUAACUCAUGAAUAAGGGUCGGCUAACUACGUG